rnacentral:rRNA from 1 species
AUCCAGACUCCUACGGGAGGCAGCAGUGGGGAAUAUUGCACAAUGGGGGAAACCCUGAUGCAGCGACGCCGCGUGAGCGAUGAAGUAUUUCGGUAUGUAAAGCUCUAUCAGCAGGGAAGAAGAUGACGGUACCUGACUAAGAAGCCCCGGCUAACUACGUGCCAGCAGCCGCGGUAAUACGUAGGGGGCAAGCGUUAUCCGGAUUUACUGGGUGUAAAGGGAGCGUAGACGGCGAUGCAAGCCAGAUGUGAAAGCCCGGGGCUCAACCCCGGGACUGCAUUUGGAACUGUGUGGCUGGAGUGUCGGAGAGGCAGGCGGAAUUCCUAGUGUAGCGGUGAAAUGCGUAGAUAUUAGGAGGAACACCAGUGGCGAAGGCGGCCUGCUGGACGAUGACUGACGUUGAGGCUCGAAAGCGUGGGGAGCAAACAGGAUUAGAUACCCCGGUACG